rnacentral:rRNA from 1 species
AGCAGCCGCGGUAAUUCCAGCUCCAAUAGCGUAUAUUAAAGUUGUUGCAGUUAAAAAGCUCGUAGUUGAAUUUCGGGAUCAAUUUGUUGGUCGUGCCUCGGUACGUACUGGCAUUAUUGGUUUCUACCUUCUGAAGAACCUUGAUGUCAUUAAUUUGGUGUCUUGGGGAAUCAGGACUGUUACUUUGAAAAAAUUAGAGUGUUUAAAGCAGGCAUACGCUUGAAUACAUUAGCAUGGAAUAAUGAAAUAGGACGUUUGAUUCUAUUUUGUUGGUUUCUAGGAUCGACGUAAUGAUUAAUAGGGAUAGUUGGGGGCAUUAGUAUCCAAUUGUCAGAGGUGAAAUUCUUGGAUUUAUUGAAGACUAACUACUGCGAAAGCAUUUGCCAAGGAUGUUUUCAUUAAUCAAGAACGAAAGUUAGGGGAUCGAAGACGAUCAGAUACCGUCGUAGUCUUAACCAUAAACUAUGCCGACUAGGGAUCGGAUGAUGUUAUUUUUAAUGACUCAUUCGGCGCCUUACGG